ensembl:lincRNA Gm44818 predicted gene 44818
AGCACCAGUACUAUAAUUUGUUCUCAAGAUAAUAAAAAUCAUAUGUGAAGCUAGGCAUGAUGGCAUAUCCCCCCCCCCCAGCCCUGGAAAGCAGAAGCAGGGGAUCAUACCAUGUUCAAUGCUAUACUCUUGUCUACACAGAACUAGAGAACGCUAACCUGAGAUACUGCACACAAUCGUUCAUUUUGUUCAGAUAUUUGACUUUGGCCUAUGGAUUUAUUCCCUCUACUGUACUGCACGUUUUCGUCAUCAAUUGAUCUCUCACCAUUUAUCAUUAUCUCCCUCUCCACCUUCCUCUACACUAUUUCUUAUAUAUGCAAAACACACAAUAAAUAAUGAAGAAUUAAAAUAAAAA